GUUUGCCUCAGGAGUGGGCGGGUGAGAUUAUGUUGCCUGUGUUGUGCAGGAGGUCAGACUAGAUGAUCAUAAUGAUCCCUUCUGACCUUAAUAUCUAUGAGUCUAUG